UUUCAAUACGUUGCAUAACAGAUGCUCCAAAGGAAGAAAGGUAGAGAAGCCUGAGCUGGAGGAAAACACAGUCGUGCAAUGUUUUAGGACCCCAGACCUGCAAGGGAGAAGCUGAAGCUCUGGAGAUAAGAAGGCCAAAAUGAGUCCUAUGGAGUAUUUGCACAGCCAGUUUCUUCUGGAAGCUUCAAGAGAGAGUCUGUUCCUUGCCUUUUCCAGCUUCUAGAGGCAGCCGACACUCCUUGGCUCAUGGCCACAUAACUCUGACCUGUGUCUAUUGUCACAUCACUGACUCUUCUGACCUCCUACCAGGACCCUUGUGAUUACAUUGGGCCUGCUUGGAUAACCCAGGAUAGCUUCUCCAUCUUAAGGUUGUUAAUCACAUCUGCAGAAUGCCUGUUGCCAUAUAAGUUAACAUAUUCACAGGUUCUAGGAAGAAGGACAUGGACAUCUUCCAGGAAGCAUUAUUCUGUCUACCACAGCAGUUCUUUCAACUGUAUGUUUCCCAGACCAUUCAUCCUUCCCUGCACAAAGUCAAGUUCAUCAACGUUCUUACUGAAAUGUGAUGUUGUUUAUCACGAAUAUAUAUAAAGCAAAGACUCUCUAAUCCUGUACUUUGCAUCUGGCAUUUCAAAAUGAAGUCUAAAAGUGUACAAUUUCUACUCCUAUGCAAGUUUCCUCUUCUUAGAUUUGACCUCCUAUUCUGGACUAUGAAGGUAUGUAAAAGUCUCUUUUUUUGUGAUCCAACCUAUUAUUUAGCUGAAUGGACUAUUAAGAGCACUGUGCUAGUGUGAGAAAUGCUUCUGGUCUUUACUUUUACCAUUCAUUAGCUCCUGUACAAGAGGAGAUGUAUAAUAUUGUUCAAUCACUGGAAAUCUAUUAGGAUUAUGGAAUUAAAGUCUUUAGCAAACUUAAGUAUCAUGCUAAUUUUAGUUUAUGCAUACCAAAUGUUAGCAACUAUCAACAAUGCACUUCAGUUUUAUUGAGUGACCUCCAAUGAUACAAGAACAUAGAAGUGGUCCAAGAACAUUCAGACCACCCACAUGUAGGAAUGAAGGAAAGGACUUGCAUGUUAAGAUCCAUUUUGAGCCUCCACGGAUGAGCCUCACAACUCACUGGUCAGCCUUGAAGUAUGUUUUGGGAGAUGUCACUUAGCAUCUACUUCAAUCUAUUCAUUUGCAUGUUUUGAAUCUGCUUGACUUGUCAUGGAGUCCACGUUUUUUAUUUCAUUCAAAAUGGUAUCAUAAGACUCUCCUUGCUUCCUUCCACUUCUCUAAGUGGAAAGGGUUGUUCUUAGUUCGUGUAUGUAUCUGAAAGGCAACUGGAAUUGUUGAAGAGAAAGAGAAGACCUAACCUGGGCACCCUAGGAACCUACUGACAUCUAUAACACCACUGUGUGCUCCCUGCCUGUCCGUCUUAGUAGAUCCGAUGAAUGCCCUAAAUUCUGAAUAUUUACUAUCUCAACCACUAUCUCUAAAAAAUUAUGGUAAUGACUUACACAAUAGACAUUAUUCCAUAAAUGUUCUAAUGAUGCCAAGUAUCUGAACAGAUUGUACAACAGCAGAUUUCUGCUGCAGUCAAUCAACUUACCUAUCUGUCUACAUGUAUCUAUGCCACCAUUUCUCCAUAAAUCACAGUCUAGUCCAUGUUACUUCCUAAAUGAGCAUUGCCUCAACAUAAGCCUUGGUUAGAAUGCUUUUCAUUGUUGGUCUUGGAGGUAUAUAGGUGAACCACUUAUCCUGAGCCUACAGAUUCAUUUAAUGACAUUCGCUCGUUGUAUAGAUUUAAAUAGGCUUGGAAAUCUCAGGAAAAUUAGCAGCCUCUAUAAGCUAAGGUGGAUUUUACUGUCCAGAGAACACAUCUAAAUAUGGCAAGGGCUAGACUAUGUGUGUGUGUGUGUGUGUAUGUGUGUGUGUGUAUGUUUUGCACAUGUGUGUACAGAAAAAGAUAUACAUAAAAUAUUUCAUACAUAUAUAAAAUAUUUCAAAGUCCAGACUAUUUUGUUUAGACUUCCUUAUUUCAGAAGAGGAAAUUGAUACAAAGGAAAGCAAAGAAGACAGAUUUUUCUUGGCCCCUUCACCGCUGAUGAUAAAAUUCCAUAAGGAAGGAGGGUGUCAAGGGUUCCCACUGCCCUCUUUUGCUUCCUUGCUCUUCCCUUGAAAUAAAUCUCAACAUACCACCGUGAUCUUUGCAAUUAAAUUACUUUACCCAAAGCAGAUGUUCGCUAGGAGCAUUUUCCUUCUGCAGCAUGGAGAGUCAUAGUUUCUCUGCUCAUUUGUCUUGUUAACUCAUAUCUGAGAGAACACAUGGAAGUGGCAUGGUCAGAAAGAAAUUGGAUACACAGAGAGAAAGUUUAAUUUUUGCUUGUAAUACUAUGCUAAAUUAUUAAACUGAAAGUCAUAUAAAAUAGCUAAAAGACUAAAAAAGACAUAAAUCAGCCACCACCUAUGUAUUUUAUUUCAUUACUUUUUUUUGUUCUAGUAUUUUUCCCAGUUUGAAUAUUGAAACAAAAUUAAUUGGUUUCACUUUUAAAGCAAUGUUAUUAUAGACAUGUAUUUAACAUUCUGAAAAAAUAUUUUAUAUAUCAAAAUAUGUAUUUUUAAGGCAGCUCUUAAUUUAAUCCAGGCAGCGAAAUCUACUUUCCUGUACAGCUUAAUGGUUUUAGUCCAUUUUAACUUUCAUUAAAAUUCUCAGAAAUCUUUCUAUUAGGUUUUAAAAAUGUUUUUCUUUUUAGAUUUUAAGGAGCCAAAUUGUGACCUAAAAUAUAAUAAUAUUUUAAAUUAAA
rnacentral:lncRNA from 10 species